rnacentral:rRNA from 1 species
GACGAACGCUGGCGGCGUGCCUAAUACAUGCAAGUUGAGCGCUGAAGGCUGGUACUUGUACCAACUGGAUGAGCAGCGAACGGGUGAGUAACGCGUGGGGAAUCUGCCUUUGAGCGGGGGACAACAUUUGGAAACGAAUGCUAAUACCGCAUAAAAACUUUAAACACAAGUUUUAAGUUUGAAAGAUGCAAUUGCAUCACUCAAAGAUGAUCCCGCGUUGUAUUAGCUAGUUGGUGAGGUAAAGGCUCACCAAGGCGAUGAUACAUAGCCGACCUGAGAGGGUGGGCGGCCACAUUGGGAGUGUGACACGCCCCAAACGCCUACGGGAGGCGGCAGUAGUGAAUCUGCGGCAAUGGACGAGAGUCUGACCGAGCAACGCCGCGGGAGUGAAGAGGGUUGUCGGAUCGUAAAACUCUGUUGGUAGAGAAGAACGUUGGUGAGAGUGGAAAGCUCAUCAAGUGACGGUAACUACCCAGAAAGGGACGGCUAACUACGUG